rnacentral:rRNA from 1 species
UACGUAGGGGGCAAGCGUUGUCCGGAAUUACUGGGCGUAAAGCGUGUGUAGGCGGGAUGGUAAGUACCUUGUGAAAUCCCACAGCUUAACUGUGGAAUUGCUUGGUAUACUGCCGUUCUUGAGUCACCUAGGGGCAGCUGGAACAGAUGGUGGAGCGGUGAAAUGCAUAGAUAUCAUCUGGAACGCCAAUGGUGCAGACAAGCUGCUGGGGGUGUACUGACGCUGAGGCACGAAAGCCAGGGGAGCAAACGGG